GACGUAGGGCGCGAGCGUUGUCCGGAUUUAUUGGGCGUAAAGAGCUCGUAGGCGGUUUGUCGCGUCGUCCGUGAAAACUUGGGGCUCAACCCCAAGCUUGCGGGCGAUACGGGCAGACUUGAGUACUGCAGAGGAGACUGGAAUUCCUGGUGUAGCGGUGAAAUGCGUAGAUAUCGUAAGGAAGACCAGUGGCGAAGGCGGGUCUCUGGACAGUUCCUGACACUGAGACACGAAGGCCAGGGGAGCAAACGGG
rnacentral:rRNA from 1 species